rnacentral:rRNA from 1 species
CCAGACUCCUAUGGGAGGCAGCAGUGGGGAAUAUUGCACAAUGGGCGCAAGCCUGACCCAGCAACGCCGCGUGAAGGAAGAAGGCUUUCGGGUUGUAAACUUCUUUUAAGAGGGAAGAGCGGAAGACGGUACCUCUUGAAUAAGCCACGGCUAACUACGUGCCAGCAGCCGCGGUAAUACGUAGGUGGCAAGCGUUGUCCGGAAUGACUGGGUGUAAGGGGAGCGUAGACGGUUGUACAAGUCUGAUGUGAAAGCCCACGGCUCAACUGUGGGAGUGCAUUGGAAACUGUAGAACUAGAGUAUCGGAGAGGCAAGUGGAAUUCCUAGUGUAGCGGUGAAAUGCGUAGAUAUUAGGAGGAACACCAGUGGCGAAGGCGGCUUGCUGGACGAAAACUGACGUUGAGGCUCGAAAGCGUGGGGAGCAAACAGGAUUAGAUACCCCAGUA